CCACAUGAGAAGCAUCUUUUCCUGGUGAUCUUUGAAUGAGAGGCUACCUGACAAACUCUCAAUGGACGGAUGAGGAAGCGACCUUUUUAGUGAAGAGCUUUGAUAAACCGAGCUCGAAGAACACAGACGUUAGGCUCUACGGAAAACCUUCUGAGUGAACUGAGCCAACCUCAGCCACAGAGGAUAGCGAUCUGCUGUUGUAGGACAUGGGAGAGAGGAUUCAGAGCAGAGUUGUCCCAGAAUGUGUUGCUAUUUAGCAAGAGAGGUGUUGGGAUUGGUAAAGCCUGUGAAAGAGCGUCAGAACUGGGAGCAGCACUCUUGCCACGAAUCUGUCAUUGCUUUGUGCAACCUCACCAUUCUGCAGAAAGAUGUGAAUGCAAGCAUCUACUUCUAAACUUCAAAUCGUCAAUGUGGCAAAACCAGCCAUGGGUUCCUGGCUGCAGUUCUAGAUCGUGCAGAAACAAUCCUCAUCACUACUAGAUUCUUAGCCUGCCACGACCAAGACCACACAUUGCAAUUCCAAUCAACCGGAAUUUCUCUUCUCAAAGUUCAGUGACUGGAAGUAGGAAAACAAGGCGUGACCAGAGUUGUUUCUUUCCGAGAGCAUCAAUGAAGAAGGCCUUUUCUACGGGUUUCUGCCUGUUGCAGGUUGAACGACAUCUCUAUAAAAUUCUUAUUUUGAAAUCCCAAUCCCUCAAGCUUUAGAAUGUGAACUUAUUUGGAGAUAAAGUAGUUAAAGGGUUAAGUUAUAUGAAGCCACCAGGGACGACUCUAAUUCAAUGUGACUGAUGUCCUAAGAAGAGAAAAUCUGAAUACAGACUCAUACAAGGAAAGCAUUAUAAGGAUUUAAGGAGCAGUUACUUAGGAGGCUGAAGCAGGAGAAUUGCUUAAUGCCAAGCAUUUGAGGUCAGCCUAGGCAAGACACAUGGAGGGUUAUGGGGAAUAGAUCUUUCUCCACAGAGGAAGCUCUUACUUAGUGAGACCUUGAGGAUGGUUUCCAACCUUUGAGGACUAAGGGAAAGCAAUUUUCUAGUAUUCAAGCCAUAUGUGAUCCUUUCUUCUAGGAGUGCUACCAAUGUUAACAAACUAUCAAGAUUCCAUGUUCCUGACUUGUAACUGCAUCACUUCCAUCUGUACCUAUGGUUCAAAGGUCAUUUCCUUGUCUGUGCAUCUUCUGCAAAUGCCCUUUCUGCUUAGUCAUGUUGAUUUGGGUCAAAGGAGUCUGGAAUGACUUCAUAUUAACCAAUCAUAUAUGCUUCAACUCUGUUUUGAAAAAUCAAACUCUGAGGCAUUAGAUCUUAAAACUUUAAUGUAGAAAUGGAAGAGAGGACGGAACUCAAUUGGUGACAUUCACUCACUAUAGGAGACAGAAAUAGUCAGCAUAACAUUGUGCUAUGCCUCUUAGCAAGAGGAAUAGUCAGGUCCUUUCCUCUCUGAGUCAGACUCAUGGCUUUCCCUGAAUCAGAAUGUUAUGGCCAUGCUGAGUGAGGGCCAGAGCUCUGAUCUCAAAAGUAUGGAAGCUUCCUCUUCCUCAUCUUAGAAUGCUGCCUAAAGACUAGGAACAGAAGCUUCCAGAAUCCUGGAAGACAAGAGUCUUUAUGGAGGAGACCAUAGUUGGUGCAGCAACCAGGAAGCUUAUGGGUGAACUCCUCAGUUAGCAGACAAAUGGGACUUAAUGCCUGUUCUUGUAUAGUUUGUUACCUAGAUUUUUUUAUUUCAUAUGUAUAUAUGUAAUAUAUACAUAUGUCUAAAUAUGUAAGUACAUAUCAAUAUAUAUACACAUAUGAAAGCUGUAUAUAUUUACAGCCUUCAUAGUUAGAAAACCCAUAUUCCAGGACACACAAAGAUAGGAUGCAGUUUAAGUUGUAGAAUCCACAAAUAAAGCUCUGUAAGGUUGAACACAUGCUGUUCAGGCAUUGUCUGCAGUCACUUCUGUGUUAUAAGACAGAUGUGAGUAUUGGCUACAAAGACCGUGUGGCAAUCAAGACCUAAAUACAGUCUGCCUUCUGUAUCCUUGGUAACCGUAGAAUGAACACAUUAGAAAAAUAAGUGCGUCAGGGCUGAGCAUAUACAGAGUGUUUUUCUUACCAUCAACCCCUAAAUGACAGAAGCAAACAACUGGCAUUAGCAUUUACACUGUAUUAGAUAAAAGUAAUUAUAGAUUAAUUAAGAGUGUGGGAGAGUACACCGGUCCUAUGCAGGCACUAUGGUGAUCUACAUGAGGGAUCUGAAAAUCUAUGGGGUGGUGGUCUUGUAGGAUUGGAUACAUUUCUUAUCCAGUCCUGUACAGUCAUUUCCAACCACCGUUCUAUGCACAGACAGUUCUUCAGCCUAACAUGUACACAAUAGUGAAACAUAGAUGAACAAGUCGGGAUGCUCAGCCAAGGUUCAGGAAGAAAGUCAGUCAUGCUUUCAAUGACGUAAGUAAGUUUCAGGUGUUCUGCUAUGCAUGACAGAGAAUAUGUUUUCAUGGGUUCUAUUAAUUUGUUUUUAAACCUUGUAUUAGCUUACAAAGAAUUAGACUUCAUCAUAGCAUUUUUGAUCAAAAAUUGUAUUUG
ensembl:lncRNA